GACGAACGCUGGCGGCGUGCCUAAUACAUGCAAGUUGAGCGCUGAAGGUUGGUACUUGUACCGACUGGAUGAGCAGCGAACGGGUGAGUAACGCGUGGGGAAUCUGCCUUUGAGCGGGGGACAACAUUUGGAAACGAAUGCUAAUACCGCAUAAAAACUUUAAACACAAGUUUUAAGUUUGAAAGAUGCAAUUGCAUCACUCAAAGAUGAUCCCGCGUUGUAUUAGCUAGUUGGGGAGGUAAAGGCUCACCAAGGCGAUGAUACAUAGCCGACCUGAGAGGGUGAUCGGCCACAUUGGGACUGAGACACGGCCCAAACUCCUACGGGAGGCAGCAGUAGGGAAUCUUCGGCAAUGGACGAAAGUCUGACCGAGCAACGCCGCGUGAGUGAAGAAGGUUGUCGGAUCGUAAAAAUCUGUUGGUAGAGAAGAACGUUGGUGAGAGUGGAAAGCUCAUCAAGUGACGGUAACUACCCAGAAAGGGACGGCUAACUACGUG
rnacentral:rRNA from 1 species